rnacentral:lncRNA from 1 species
GUAUCUGUUGUGGGUGAGUGACCAUUCUUGGUACUUUGUACCAGGGGGAUCUGGUUAUGUGGCUGCAACCAUUAACCACAGUUAUCUCUCUCUCUCUCUUCAUAGGAUCCCUCCCUCCAAGAAGGCAACUCUCCUAUCUCCGAGAGCUCAGCCACCCUACAACAAGGGAAUGGGCUUGUGGUAGUUCAUGAUGCGAAUCCCUCUAUCCUUACCUUUCACCACACUGGUAUAGGCGGCCAUGACAGCAAGUACUCCUUUACAGUCACAGCCUUGGAUGAGAACAUCACCACAUAGAAUCAAAGUAUGUGCAGGCAGAAAAGGUCCUCUUGGGUUUAAAGGAGACAAGGGUGUCAGAGGGCAGGAGGUCAGGAGAGGUGAUACAGGCUUCCCAGGUCCUCCAGGACUCCCCACCCUCUACCUUUGGAGGAACUCCCAGGAGGACAGGACUUCCUUCAGGUUCACCAGGACAUGUUGUUGGAUGUGCGUCACAGCAGAGCAGCAGCCCUGGCCCUGACACCGACCCAGCCAUGGCAGUGUUCUCACCAGACUCCCCAAUCCGGCUAUUUCGGACUGGAAAUGUCAGCCUGCCUUAAUACCACAGUCCUCAACUCCACCCAGGUUGCUGUAAUUGAAGGCAGUUGUAUAUAUCUUAUCUUAUGAUGAUUAAAGUUGAUUGCUGCAAUUGUGUAAGUGCGUCGACGUGGCAGAUAAGUUACUGGAAGUAUAUUUUAGGGAUCAACAGGAAAAAUAAUUUGUG